AUUGCUGCGGUGAUCUUGUUCACAUCCUGAAGUCAAUUUAGUGCAUAAAGAAUGGAAUACUUUUGGAUGUAACAUUACCAGAAGACACAGUUCAGAAGUGAUUCUGGUGCACCAUGUCUACCAAUGGAAGUUUAAUCCAUGGGUCAAGACUAGGAGUAGUAUGAAACUCCAGCUUCAGACCACUCACCCAAAGUGCUAAUAGUGGACAUCAGGAGAAAUAACUCUAGAUGUUUCAUUGCAACAAUUGCCUCCUACUGUGCCAUGCUAUUUGGUAAUGUAGCAAUUGCACAUUAAUACAAAGUAAAUAAGAGGUUGCAGACCUCUAUUUCACCGACAUUAUCUUUUUAUAACUGCCUAUAUCAGAUGCCUGAGGAUAAGAAAAGCAAUCAGCCUCUAUUUCCAGCCCUCCUGAUACUUAAUAUUUCAAUAUUUAAUAGUCUAAUACUAACAAUUUAAGUGACCUGUGUAUAAAAUACAUCCUGUAUUGUUCUAAUAAUGUGACAUUAUUAGCAUACCUUUUCUGACCAUUUCACUUUUCUUGAAAGUUGUGCUCUCUUCUUCAAAACUAUUGCCUUGUAUUGAUACUGACAGCAUUUUUUCAAAGCAUAGGACACCCAGGGUCCCACAAGAUGUUUCACUGUUUGGAGGAGAGAUGGUGGGGAAUUCAUCCUGAGCAAUAAAGAAAAAACUAAUCAAGCCAAACUCCCAAAUCUUUUUCUGUUUUUAAAGAGUCAGAAGGCAAAUGACCAAAAAAAAAAAAAAAAGAGGGAGAGACUUUAAAUCAGCCAAAAUGGGUAUUCUUGGCUUCCCAGCUACCAGCCCUCAGAGGUGCCUGAAAUCUCUUUUUCCCAGGUAAAACUCAAAUCUGGCAAAGGCUGAGCAGGUAGAACGUUGUCUUUCAUUUUCUUUUAGGUGGAAAACACAUUUAUUUCUGUAGAAGCUGGGCCAUGGCAUGUCAUACAGAACAUUUGUGUGAAUGCAGGGUAGAGGGAUGAGUCCUGUCAAACAUUAUGUUUUCUAUACCAGGAAGGAAUUUGAGAACCUGAGCGAGAAGAGUCCCACAGCAGAAAAUCUGAGAACAAUUGACCUAUGUAGCAGAUGAAAAUUUAAUACUACCAAGGAUCAUUCCCUAUAUGUCCUGGAAGUAAUGCUCAUUGAUGCCUUCCCUCUAGCAAUCACAUUUUACAAUCUGCCACUGAACAAAUUUUUAAUCUAUCCAAUUUGCACCUGCUAAUCUAAUGUACUAUAAGUUUUUAAAUCAUGUAGUGCUAUGUCAAAUACCCUGGAGAAAAUCCUGUAAACUGUGUCAGAACAGCUGCCUUUAUCAAGCAGAAUGGUGACCUCGUAAAAAAAAAAAAAAUCUAAAUUUUGUAUGACAGGAUCUGCUUUCCAUGAUAGCUUACUAGCUUACUGACUGUCAGUUAGAUUUUUAAUCUGGAAGUCUAUGUUGCUAGAAUAACAAAAUAAUUUUUCAUGAAACUACUGAAUCUAUACUGCUUUCUUCAGUCACUGAACAGAAUCCUCCAAGCAAUCAAACUUGAUUGCAAUUCUCCAUUGUCUUGGAAUUCCCCAAAUAUUAAAGUUUGCUUUAAAUACUCUUAGUAAGACAAUCCUUUUGGUAUCUUUAUCCGCAGUCUCUCUCAGAUUUGUAUAUGAGUUACUAAUUAUGAACGUGUCAUCAACAGGACACACAGGACACUCUGAAAGAAAACUACUUGGCUUCAUUUCUUUUAAUUGAUUAAAAUAAUAAUUAAUGCAUUUUAGUUGCAUCAGUAGAAUUACUAUUUGUUAAAAGAAAGUGAAAUGCCCAAAAUAAUAGCUCUCGGGUAUAUUGUUUUACUAGACUCGUCUGGAUAAGUAUGAGUAAAGUUCACUACAAUACAUCUCCAGUGAGAGAUCAAGAAGCAAAAGAAGUGGUUGUUUAAAGUUAACAGCAAGAAGAAAAUACUAUCUGCAAUCUUCUGGUCAGCUCUUCAGCUUUCAUUAGUACUUUUCAGGAGAGAUAAGAACCAAUGGCAGGAAGUUAAGAUGAGCGAAGCAACAGUGGAGGGGCAGAACUUGUGAAGAAAUGUUGAAAUAUUUCUGUAGCUAUCUGUAGAAAGGAUGAUGGUGGAGAAGGUUAGAGACUUCAAACAGUUGAAAUAUCAUUAUACAAUGAAAAGAGAAGUAUCUGUUCUUGGCCUUUAAAUUUGCUCUGACAACAGAGAUUAAGGUUGAGGACACAGAAAGCCUCCUAAAGACGUGAGCAAAGACUUACAGCUGGUAAUCUAGAGGUUGUGGUGUCUGUCAUUAAAUGUUUUUCUGCCUUGGACUACAAAGUGAGCAGAUUAUCCCCUUGGGUCCCUUCCAGCCCUAGGAGUCUGUGUCACGGCUGUUAGGAACGAGGCUCAUCUGUCAAGGGCCUUUCAUGAGACUGGAAGUCAUGAGACUGAAAGAACAAAGGCAUAAGAAACUCCCUUUCAUUCAGCAUCACUCCUUCCACUUUCUCCUGCUGAAUGUGUUGAUAUUUGUUUUUUGUUUUUUUUUACAUAUCAUCAAAAAUAUAGCCUGGCAUUCUCAUCAUCACAAUAUGGAGUCAGUUCCGUUAUUACAAGCAACACAUGAAGUCACUCUGAAGAGGUCCAUGUCAGUCAUUAAGAGCUCUUUGAAAUCACCUUUUGGAACAAGUGCUACAUAAGUUACAGAGGCAAUCACAUUCCCUUGAAAACUCUGGAUGCCUUGUGCUGAAACAAGAUCAAUUACCAUUAAAGUAUUAAAAAUAUGAUGGAUAAGUAUUACUUAGGGCAUGACCUCUUAUCUAAUGGCUGGCCAGUUCCAUCAUCUGAUCCAUCUCCAUCACCAGAGGACCCUCUGGAGUCGACUCGCAGCCUUGGAGAUUGCUCUCAUGUCAUAGAUUUGGUAGGACCUUUUAUAAACAAUUAAAAUACUUGGAGCAGGAUUAAGAAACAGGUAUAUUCGCUUCUUAUGCAAGCUUGCUUAGCAGGCAGGUUCCAUCUUUGGUUUUCCUACUCAUUCCCGAAUUCUGGCCUAAGAAAUUUGCAAGCUUUCCAAAAAGGUGAACAAGAGUCAAAAGAAAUGAAGAGUUGGACAAUGUCGGGUUCCUCAGUACUCUGAUAAAUAGUCUUUAAAAGGAUGCUCCAACGUCCAUGCCAGUUCCAUAGGCCAGACAUCACUUCCACUGAAGGAUAUCACAGAAUCACAGAAUGGCCUGGGUUGGAAGGGACCCCAAGGAUCAUGAAUCUCCAACCCCCCUGCCAGGCAGGGCCACCAACCUCCCCAUUUACUAGACCAGGCUGCCCAGGGCCCCAUCCAAUCUGGCCUGGCCAUUUCUUUCUCCUGAGGCAGUGAACUUUGCAUUCUUUCCUACACAGUGUUUGUAUGAAUAACACUUCCUUCCUCCCUCCCUCUUUUCCUCCCUCCGUACCUUCCAUUGUUCCUUCUUUCCCACAGUUGAUCUCAGCUAUAGGUAUUGAGAGCAUUUGCCUGGAGGGUCAAUGGGUAGACACAAAGCCUCCUAGACUGUUGCAGUAUUUAACAUGAGGCUCUUUGUUAACUAGAAGAACCUGCCUGUUCUAAAAAAAAGGAUUUGAGCUCCCAGCAAUGUGCAGUUCAUAUAUCACCUUUCAAGAUUAUUUGUCUUGACUACAGGUGGUAGCUGGUGAUGUUGACUUUCCAAACCACCUCAAUUCUCCGUACUCAUUUUGGACUCUGAUUUGGAAUCCAUGCAAUCCAAAUUAAAAUUAAUCAGACUAGUUUAUGUGUGGCUUGGACUUUUUCUCCUGUCAAACAACAAAAUGAUUUUGUAAAUCAUGGGGACAUUGAACUGCUAUGGUAAAAUUUUUCUCCUGUGCUGUUGUACUUCCAAGGUAGCUUACAGAAUGUUAUGGAAGUUACGGAAUGAAACUGAUAAAAAAUAUAGGGAG
ensembl:lncRNA